GACUACUAGGGUAUCUAAUCCCGUUCGCUCCCCUGGCUUUCGAGCCUCAGUGUCAGUUACAGUCCAGAAAGCCGCCUUCGCCACUGGUGUUCCUCCUAAUAUCUACGCAUUUCACCGCUACACUAGGAAUUCCGCUUUCCUCUCCUGCACUCAAGAAAUAUAGUUUCUUUCCCAUCACGGGGUUGAGCCCCGCACUUUUAAGAAAGACUUACAUUCCCACCUGCGCUCCCUUUACGCCCAAUAAUUCCGGACAACGCUCGCCGCCUACGUAUUACCGCGGCUGCUGGCACGUAGUUAGCCGUGGCUUCCUCGUCAGGUACCGUCAUUAGUGACUCUUAUUCAUAGUCCCUACAUUCGUCCCCGACAACAGAGCUUUACGAUCCGAAGACCUUCUUCACUCACGCGGCGUUGCUCCAUCAGACUUUCGUCCAUUGUGGAAGAUUCCCCACUGCUGCCCCCCGUAGG
rnacentral:rRNA from 1 species